rnacentral:rRNA from 1 species
UACGAGGGGGGCGAGCGUUGUUCGGAAUUAUUGGGCGUAAAGGGUGCGUAGGCGGUUCGUUAAGUUUCGUGUGAAAUCUUCGGGCUCAACUCGAAGUCUGCACGAGAUACUGCCGGGCUUGAGUGUGGGAGAGGUGAGUGGAAUUUCCGGUGUAGCGGUGAAAUGCGCAGAUAUCGGGAAGAACACCAGUGGCGAAGGCGGUUCUCUGGGACGGUACUGACGCUGAGACGCGAAAGCGUGGGGAGCGAACAGG